AUUGAACGCUGGCGGCAUGCCUUACACAUGCAAGUCGAACGGCAGCACGGACUUCGGUCUGGUGGCGUGUGGCGAACGGGUGAGUAAUAUAUCGGAACAUACCUUGUAGUGGGGGAUAACUAUCCGAAAGGAUAGCUAAUACCGCAUACGCUCUAAGGAGGAAAGCGGGGGAUCGUAAGACCUCGUGCUAUAAGAGUGGCCGAUAUCUGAUUAGCUAGUUGGUGAGGUAAAGGCUCACCAAGGCGACGAUCAGUAGCUGGUCUGAGAGGACGACCAGCCACACUGGAACUGAGACACGGUCCAGACUCCUACGGGAGGCAGCAGUGGGGAAUUUUGGACAAUGGGGGCAACCCUGAUCCAGCAAUGCCGCGUGAGUGAAGAAGGCCUUCGGGUUGCAAAGCUCUUUUGUCAGGGAAGAAACGGUUGUGGCUAAUAUCCAUGGCUAAUGACGGUACCUGAAGAAUAAGCACCGGCUAACUACGUGCCAGCCGCCGCCGUAAGAC
rnacentral:rRNA from 1 species